GGAGUUGUGCUUUAGAUUAAGGUAAAGUUACCAUGGUAAAGUUACAUUUUGACCCUCUGGUUCCCUUUCCCAUCGGAUCUGAAUACUGGUCUUGGUGGUCGUAAAAGGAGGAAAAGUAAUACUGAAGCUGGCCUUAAUGGUGUUCUAGUCUGUUUUCUAACACAUGGGCUAAUUUCAAACAGGAGUGAAUGGAGUGAAUGGAGGAUAAGAGGAUGGAUGAGUGUGAAUGGAGGAUAAGAGGAUGAGUGUGAUGCUGUGUGCAUUUGAUUAGGAAUUGCUGGAUAAUGUUGUAUUUGAGG
rnacentral:lncRNA from 1 species